UUGGUUCCGGUUCACGUGCCCGCACCCGCCCGCACGACCCGGCGACC
rnacentral:ncRNA from 1 species